rnacentral:rRNA from 1 species
AACGAACGCUGGCGGCAGGCUUAACACAUGCAAGUCGAACGCUCCGCAAGGAGAGUGGCAGACGGGUGAGUAACGCGUGGGAAUCUACCCAUCUCUACGGAACAACUCCGGGAAACUGGAGCUAAUACCGUAUACGUCCUUCGGGAGAAAGAUUUAUCGGGGAUGGAUGAGCCCGCGUUGGAUUAGCUAGUUGGUGGGGUAAAGGCCUACCAAGGCGACGAUCCAUAGCUGGUCUGAGAGGAUGAUCAGCCACAUUGGGACUGAGACACGGCCCAAACUCCUACGGGAGGCAGCAGUGGGGAAUAUUGGACAAUGGGCGCAAGCCUGAUCCAGCCAUGCCGCGUGAGUGAUGAAGGCCCUAGGGUUGUAAACUCCUUUCGCCAUUGACGAAGCCCUUUGGGGUGACGGUAGGUGGAGAAGAAGCACCGGCUAACUACGUGCCAGCCGCCGCCGU